rnacentral:rRNA from 1 species
CUAAAAAAAAAAAAAAAAUCUCUACCGAUAUUAAGUUAAAGGGUCCGUAGGCGGGAAAUAAGUCAGUGGUGAAAGUCUGCAGCUUAACUGUAGAAUUGCCAUUGAUACUGUUGUUCUUGAAUUAUUAUGAAGUGGUUGGAAUGAGUAGUGUAGCGGUGAAAUGCAUAGAUAUUACUCAGAACACCUAUUGCGAAGGCAGAUCACUAAUAAUAUAUUGACGCUGAUGGACGAAAGCGUAGGUAGCGAACAGGAUUAGAUACCCUGGUAGUCUACGCCGUAAACGAUGGUUACUAGCUGUCCGGCCUAAUUGAGGGCUGGGUGGUUAAGCGAAAGUGAUAAGUAACCCACCUGGGGAGUACGUUCGCAAGAAUGAAACUCAAAGGAAUUGACGGGGGCCCGCACAAGCGGUGGAGCAUGUGGUUUAAUUCGAUGAUACGCGAGGAACCUUACCAGGGCUUAAAUGCAGUUGGACAGGUCUGGAAACAGACCCUUCUUCGGACUAAUUGCAAGGUGCUGCAUGGUUGUCGUCAGCUCGUGCCGUGAGGUGUCAGGUUAAGUCCUAUAACGAGCGCAACCCCUGUGGUUAGUUGCCAGCACGUAAUGGUGGGAACUCUAGCCAGACUGCCGGUGCAAACCGUGAGGAAAGGUGGGGGAUGACGUCAA